UUUCUGUUACCCUGGAAAAAUAUAUACAAUGUUAAAAAAAAAAAAAAAAAAAAACACCAGCUCCCAUACUUCUACGAAACAUUAGCACAUUCCCAUUCAUGUCAGGAAUAUCACGAAUGCCUAUUUCCACAAUUAUUCAAUAUUUUUCUAGAAUUUCUAAGUUAAUUCCUUAAGACAAGAGGAAGUGAGAAGUUCAAAUAUUGACAGUCAUGAAAUGAAUGACACUUAUUAGCAGAGGCUACGUCUUCCUACCUAGAAAACUCAAGAAAAUCAAUGGCCACUUCACUAAAAUAGAGUUCAAAAAUGUGGGUGACAAGCAAAUACAUGAGAUCAAUAGAUUUCCUACACACCAACAACAAAUAGUGGGAAAUAAAAAAAAGAAACCCAGCCACAUUAGCUUUAAACAGAAUAAAAACAAAAUAGCCAGGAAUGAAUACAUGUUUUCCUGGGGGUUGAGCAGGAUGUCCCAAUUUAUAUAGCUUAUUGUUUGCAGCAGAGUUUCCCACCUUUGACCUUGAAUCUUGUACUUGCCACUCCUCUUUAGGAACUCUCCCAGCCCUUCUGUCUCCAGCUUUCAGGCAUAUCCCACAUCCCAUCCACACUUCCUCUCUACCCAGGCUGUGUAAGGGGUCUGGAGAACCAAACAUGGGCCAGGCUGCAGUGGCCUGAGAACAAUUUGUCUUUAGAUACGGGAAUAAGUUACUAAUAUAAUACUAAAUACCCCUCCAAAAAUAUAUAUAGACAAAACAGAGUACACUGAGUUAGUAUGGCUUACUGGUUAAGCAAGCAGAUUCUGGAAUACAAUUGAAUGGUUUUGACUGGAAUUUAUAACUGCCAUUUAUAACUGUAUGAUCUCUCUACCUGUUUGCUUGUCUGUGAAAUAGCACCAGUGUGGAAAAUAUCCCACUUGAAGAGGGUCAAGUGGGCUAACACAGAUUGCUCCUGUCUAAAUGUGUCUGCAUCCAGUAGUGCACAGUCCUCCCAGGUCACCUGUCUUUCCAUUCUGUCUUCUUCCUAUUACCAAAUAGGUGCACGGAUGACAAAUGACAUGGGAAACCAUCAGGACUUGAUUGCUUUUCCAAAACAGCCUCUUCAAUCACCGCCUCUUCAAAUGAACUAAACUGGCCUACCGUCAGGACCAAGACUUGCUCAAGGAGACCAACUAUUUGCCAGCUCAACUUGUAACAUGUGGAAGUUUCAGGAAAGUUCCAGAUGGAGGAGUUGAAGGGGUGCAGGAUGAGACACCCCAAAAUGUGCCACUUUGGCAUAAAGAUUAUUCCAAGUUAAAAUUAAUAAAAACCCAGCAGAUGCAGAAAAAGCACUUUGCCUCCCCCAUAACCAUGUAAAUUCACAUUGGAAAGGAAAACCUGCACUGGGCAGAGUAUUAACAGCCACCCUCCCAACCUUUACCAAUGGAGUUCAUGUGCCCAAAAGAGCCAUCUAGUUUUUCCAAACAUCUCCUUUCACCUUCUUGCUGUUGACUUUUCUCCCCUUUGUGUCCUCAGACCCUUACCUCUUUCCUGAGCUCAUAUAAGCUUCAUGUGGCCUCCCUGUCUUCAGAAUUUCCUAUCUGUGUGGAUUCCCCAUAAGUAUACCUAUUAAAUUUGAUUUUGUCUUGUUUUAAAAAAAUAAUAAAACCGCCAAACAACAACAAAACAAAAAAAGGCGGUGGGGAGUGGUUUAAGAAAUGCAAAAGAGUCCUUUUCCAUAGGAGCUAAAAUGUCUUUUUUAGGUUUUGAGAACAGUUUGAUCUAUAACCUGAGUACAGCCAUGUAUGUUCCUCUUUAGAAAAAUCCUGGAGCCCUUUUGGGGCACCUGGCUGGCUCAGUCAGCAGAGCAUGUGACUCUUGAUCUGGGGGUUGUAAGUUCAAGCAUGCUGGGUGUAGAGAUUAUCUAAAAAUAAAAUCUUUUUUUUAAUGUUUAUUUAUUGGGGGGGGGGGGGCAGAGAGAGAGGGAGACAAAGGAUCUGAAGUGGGCUCUGUGCUGAAAGCAGAGAGCCCAACACGGGGCUCAAACUCACAGACCAUGAGAUCAUGACCUGAAACUAAGUCAGACAGUUAACCGAUUGAGCCACUCAGGCACCCAAAAAAUAAAAUAUUUUUAAGUUUUUUUUUUUAAGUUUCUGUAUUUAUUUUGAAGGAGAGGGAGCACAAGUGGGGGAGGAACAGAGAGAGAGAGAGAGAGAGAGAGAGAGAGAAUCCCAAUCAGGCUCUGCACUGUCAGCACAGAGCCCCAUGCAGGGCUCAAACCCAUGAACUGUGAGGCCACGACCUGAGCUGAAUUCAAAAGUUGGA